AAGUCGUAACAAGGUUUCCGUAGGUGAACCUGCGGAAGGAUCAUUAGUGAACGCCCUUCAUGGGCUUAAAACUAUUCCAAACCUCUGUGAACCGUGCCCCUCGGGGCUAAUUUUACAAACAUGGUGUAAUGAACGUCAUAACUUUAACAAAACAAAACUUUCAACAACGGAUCUCUUGGCUCUC
rnacentral:misc_RNA from 1 species